GAUGAACGCUGGCGGCGUGCUUAACACAUGCAAGUCGAACGAAGCAUUUGCGACAGAUUUUUUCGGAAUGAAGUUGCUUAUGACUGAGUGGCGGACGGGUGAGUAACGCGUGGGUAACCUGCCUUGUACUGGGGGAUAGCAGCUGGAAACGGCUGGUAAUACCGCAUAAGCGCACAAUGUUGCAUGACAUGGUGUGAAAAACUCCGGUGGUAUAAGAUGGACCCGCGUCUGAUUAGCUAGUUGGUGAGAUAACAGCCCACCAAGGCGACGAUCAGUAGCCGACCUGAGAGGGUGACCGGCCACAUUGGGACUGAGACACGGCCCAGACUCCUACGGGAGGCAGCAGUGGGGAAUAUUGCACAACGGAGGAAACUCUGAUGCAGCGACGCCGCGUGAGUGAAGAAGUAAUUCGUUAUGUAAAGCUCUAUCAGCAGGGAAGAUAGUGACGGUACCUGACUAAGAAGCUCCGGCUAAAUACGUG
rnacentral:rRNA from 1 species